UGAGCACUCUAUAAAUAGUUGGAGAGGCCAGGCCACAGAGCUCAACAACUCAUACCUGUCAAAAAGCUUAUACACAACCCAUUUUCUUACACAUUCUCCUCAAUAUUUGAUUGGAUUCUUUUAAUUCUUGAACCUCUUGAUCCGCCUCUCUUUUUGCAAAUCCUUCAUAACCUUUGAAUCUUGCCUCCUUUUUUGUUUUCUUUUGCCUUAACAAGUAGGUUUACGAGUUUUGUUGGUGCUCAAAGCUUUUUCUUGAUCGUGCUUUCUGGUACAAACUUGAGGUUUUACUUUUUGGUGUUCUUGGCUUGACUAGGAAAGACAUUUACACGAGGGGAGGGGAGACACAGAGAAAAAAGAAAGAUGGAGCAGAAGCAUUUCUUGUUGUCUGCUUUGAGUGUAGGAGUUGGGGUUGGGUUGGGAUUGGCUUCUGGGCAGAGCAUAAGUAGAUGGGCUGGUGGAAAUGUUUCUCCAGAUGAUGUCUCAGCUGAGCAGAUUGAGCAGGAAUUGAUCAGACAGGUGAUUGAUGGCAGAGACAGUAAGGUCACCUUUGAUGAGUUUCCUUAUUACCUCAGUGAUAUAACUCGGGUUUCAUUGACAAGUGCUGCAUAUAUUCAUUUAAAGCACUCAGACGUUUCCAAGCACACCAGGAACCUCUCACCUGCUAGUAGGGCUAUUUUGCUUUCAGGACCUGCUGAACUUUACCAGCAAAUGCUCGCCAAGGCUUUAGCUCAUUACUUUGAGUCCAAGUUGCUGUUAUUGGAUGUUACUGAUUUUUCCGUAAAGAUACAGAGCAAAUAUGGAUGCACUAAAAAGGAAUCUUCUUUCAAGAGAUCCAUAUCAGAGGCGACAUUGGAACGAAUGUCCAGUUUGUUUGGUUCUUUCUCAAUCCUACCUCCAAGAGAAGAAAUAAAAGGCACAUUACAUCGGCAAAGCAGUAGUUUGGACAUUAGAUCAAGAAGUAUCGAAGGUUUGAAUAAUCAUUCCAAACUUCGCAGAAAUGCCUCUGCUGCCUCUGACAUGAGUAGCAUUGCCUCCCAAUCUGCUUCCACAAAUUCAGCUUCCCUCAAGCGAGUGAGUGGCUGGUGUUUUGAUGAGAAACUCUUUCUGCAAUCGCUUUACAAGGUAUUGAUUUUAAUAUCAGAAAGAAAUUCUGUCAUUUUAUAUCUUAGGGACGUUGAAAAGGUUCUUCUUCAAUCAGAAAGGAUGUACAACUUGUUCAGUAAAUUCUCGAAGAAACUUUCUGGUUCAGUUUUGAUACUUGGUUCCCGUAUGGUGGACCAAGAAGAUGAUUGCAGACAAGUAGAUGAGAGACUUACCAUGAUAUUCCCGUACAAUAUUGAGAUCAAACCACCAGAAGAUGAGACUCAUCUUGUCAGCUGGAAAGCACAGCUGGAAGAAGACAUGAAGAUGAUUCAGUUUCAAGAUAACAAAAACCACAUUGUUGAGGUACUUGCAGCAAAUGAUAUUGAAUGUGAUGAUUUGGCUUCAAUUUGUCACGCAGACACAAUGGUUCUUAGCAAUUACAUAGAAGAAAUUGUGGUGUCAGCAAUAUCAUAUCAUCUGAUGAAUAAUAAGGAUCCAGAAUACCGAAAUGGAAAGCUCGUUAUAUCAUCUAAGAGCUUGUCCCACGGAUUGAGUAUAUUCCAAGAAGGUAAAAGUGGUGGGAAAGAUACUCUAAAACUGGAAACAAAUGGUGAAGCUGGCAAGGACACUGAAGGGGAAGAGGCUGUUAGUGCAAAGGCUGAAACCCCAACAUCUGAAAAUAAGGGUGAAACAGAGAAAUCUGUUCCUGGAGUCAAGAAGGAUGGAGAGAAUCCACCUCCGGCUAAAGCACCUGAAGUUCCUCCUGACAAUGAAUUUGAGAAACGAAUCAGGCCAGAGGUUAUCCCAGCAAGUGAGAUUGGAGUGACAUUUGCAGACAUUGGUGCCUUGGAUGAAACUAAAGAAUCACUUCAGGAGCUAGUCAUGCUUCCUCUUCGAAGACCAGACCUCUUCAAAGGUGGACUUCUUAAGCCUUGCAGAGGCAUAUUGCUAUUUGGCCCUCCAGGCACAGGAAAAACAAUGCUAGCCAAGGCCAUAGCAAAUGAAGCUGGAGCAAGUUUCAUUAAUGUCUCAAUGUCCACCAUCACUUCAAAAUGGUUUGGUGAAGAUGAAAAGAAUGUCCGAGCACUGUUUUCACUUGCUGCAAAGGUCUCCCCAACUAUCAUAUUUGUUGAUGAGGUUGAUAGCAUGCUUGGGCAGCGGACCAGAGUUGGUGAGCAUGAGGCCAUGCGGAAGAUAAAAAAUGAGUUCAUGACACAUUGGGAUGGACUACUGACAAAACCUGGUGAGCGAAUUCUUGUCCUUGCUGCUACCAACAGGCCAUUUGACCUUGAUGAAGCAAUUAUUAGGCGGUUUGAGCGCAGAAUUAUGGUUGGUCUUCCAUCCAUUGAUAGCAGAGAAAUGAUUUUGAGAACUCUUCUAGCAAAAGAGAAAACUGAGGAUCUGGACUUCAAGGAGCUUGCAACCAUGACAGAAGGAUAUAGUGGAAGUGAUCUUAAGAACUUGUGUGUGACAGCAGCUUAUCGACCUGUUAGAGAGUUAAUACAGCAGGAAAGAUUGAAAGAUAAAGUAAUCUUCUCCCUUCUUGAAUAUUCCUUUUUGUAUUGUCUUAUUGACUAAAUAAUAUUUUUAUUUCUUUUGUUUCUUCAAUGAUCUCUCUUCAGGAAAUAAAGCAGAAAGCUGAAGAAGGCACAAGCUCAGACGAUGCUUCAGGUACAAAAGAAGAAGACAAAGAGGAAAGAGUAAUUAUUCUGAGGCCUUUAAACAUGGAAGAUAUGAGGCAGGCUAAGAAUCAGGUAAUCUUUCUUGCAAAUUCAAGUCUUUCGUUGUCAAUAAACUCCAAAUGUCAUCAUAUGCAUAAACGUGCUUAUAGCUUUCUUGUGUCUGAAACCUCUCAUCUCUAACUUCUGAUUUUAGAUGCCAAUAGCUGGCACUAGAUUUCACUCAAGAUCCUCCAAAUGGUAUCACACUAGUUUCAGUUUCUGGAAGAGGUAUUCCAGAUAUAGAACGUUUCUUAAAAUGAAUGCUGCGAUGCAGGUUGCUGCAAGUUUCGCAGCUGAAGGAUCAAUAAUGAGCGAGCUAAAGCAAUGGAAUGAAUUGUAUGGAGAAGGAGGUUCAAGGAAGAAGCAACAAUUGACUUACUUCCUCUAGAUUGUAGAAAGCUGUCAUUUUAGAGGCAAAUCAGUAAUAGAAAGGAGAUCAAAGUUCAAGGAAAGCCAGCGCGCCGCAAGUGAAACCAGAAAUGUGAUUGUUCCAGGCAUACAACUGUGCAGCAGUGAAUAGAAAGCUGCAACACCAGUCAACAGAGUGAAAUUCUAGCAACUCCAGCAGAGCUUGUGUCAGGGUGCUGUGUAUUUUCUAAAAUCAUUGUCUGAAAUUUGUGCUCCAUGCAAACAAGAGAGGGUUCUAUUGUUUGUUUAGGCCAUCCUAAGAACAUUGGAAACCACAUUUGGUAUUGUAAUUAUGUUGUGGAACUUGGAAAUGCAUACGGAUUUGUGGAAUUUAGGAGGAACCCUUUUAUAUUGGGUUUAUAUUUGCACCCUAUAAACUAUAUUAUCGUACAGUAGCAUUUGUACAUUGGUCUUGUAUAAACUAGUAUACUUCUUAAUCUUGUAGAAUUUAU
rnacentral:misc_RNA from 1 species